rnacentral:rRNA from 1 species
GAUUUUGGACAAUGGGGGAAACCCUGAUCCAGCCAUCCCGCGUGUAUGAUGAAGGCCUUCGGGGUGUAAAGUACUUUUGUCAGAGAAGAAAAGGUACCUCCUAAUACGAGGUACUGCUGGCGGUAUCUGCAGAAUAAUCACCGGCUAACUACGUGCCAGCAUCCGCGGUAAUACGUAGGUUGCAAGCGUUAAUCGGAAUUACUUGGCGUAAAGCGUGUGUAGGCGGUUCGGAAAGAAAGAUGUGAAAUCCCAGGGCUCAACCUUGGAACUGCAUUUUUAACUGCCGAGCUAGAGUAUGUCAGAGGGGGGUAGAAUUCCACGUGUAGCAGUGAAAUGCGUAGAUAUGUGGAGGAAUACCGAUGGCGAAGGCAGCCCCCUGGGAUAAUACUGACGCUCAGACACGAAAGCGUGGGGAGCAAACAG